UACGUAGGUGGCAAGCGUUGUCCGGAUUUAUUGGGUUUAAAGGGUGCGUAGGCGGUCUUAUAAGUCAGUGCUGAAAUAUCCCGGCUUAACCGGGAGGGUGGCAUUGAUACUGUAGGACUUGAGUAAAGUUGAGGUUGGCGGAAUUGACGGUGUAGCGGUGAAAUGCUUAGAUAUCGGGAGGAACAUCCGUGGCGAAGGCGGCCAUCUGGAUCAACACUGACGCUGAGGCACGAAAGCGUGGGGAGCAAACAGG
rnacentral:rRNA from 1 species